AAAGGCUGCUCACUCAGAGCAGAUGGCGGAGCCUAAACCAAGAUGGAGGCCGCCCAGGGGGCUGGGGCUGAGACAACAUCCGUUGCUCUAUGCAAAUACUCCUUCUCACCACCUCUUCAGGAGGAAAGAAUUCUUGAUGUGACAGGGUACAAACUGGGGGCCCACGAGACAAAUUCUCCACUGGAGCCAAUCAAGAACCCGUGAAGCUUCUGGAGAAAAAGUGAAGACCUGGACCAUUGGGUCCCCAUUGUAAGGCAGGAGGAAGGAAGAGAUGAGGCCCCACUCUGCUACGUUUCAUUGGCCACAACUGUAGCCAGAACAUGAUCACUCUCAGCUGCAAGAGAAUGGGAAGUUUCGUUUGUAGCGUUCCAAACUCUUCAUCAGAGAAAAGCGAAGGAAAAGUAACUGGGCGUGAGCUACACGUCUGCCACAGCUGAACUGAAAACAUUUUAGAGUUUUUGUCUGUCUUUUGCUUGUGUUCCAAGCUCCCUGAAAGCACUGGUUUAAUAACCUCAAAACAAACAAACAAACAAACAAGUGACACCAGAGGCCUGGCAUAUGUUAAUACUGAACAAAUGUUUGUUGAUUAACGUCUCAUUGAAGGAAAUCAUGGGAAAUACGGCCCAAAAGGUGAAAGCUGACGGCCAGGAUGAGUCCUGCUCAACAGGGAAUGUUCCUACAAGGCUCUGAGUAGGGCUUUAGUAGGGCUUUAGGGCAAUAGCUAUUUAAAUAGGAUUUAUUUUUACCUAACCCUACUUCUAAAAGGAUUGAGGUCAUUUUACAUAAUUAAAACAGUCCAAAAUAAAGCAAUUCAGGAUAAAAACA
rnacentral:lncRNA from 1 species